rnacentral:rRNA from 1 species
UGAGUGCUAAAUGUGAGGAUUUUAUCUUUGUAUUGUAGCUAACGCGUUAAGCACUCCGCCUGGGGACUACGGUCGCAAGACUAAAACUCAAAGGAAUUGACGGGGACCCGCACAAGCGGUGGAGCAUGUGGUUUAAUUCGAUGCUACGCGAAAAACCUUACCACUUUUUGACAUGAAGGUCGUAUCCCUCCUAACAGGGGGAGUCAGUUCGGCUGGACCUUACACAGGUGCUGCAUGGUUGUCGUCAGCUCGUGUCGUGAGAUGUUGGGUUAAGUCCCGCAACGAGCGCAACCCUCAUUCUUAGUUACCAACAGGUAAUGCUGGGCACUCUAAGGAAACUGCCAGUGAUAAACUGGAGGAAGGUGGGGAUG